GAGUCCAAAAAUGCCCUAAAAUAAAUCCAGGGUCCUCUAUCCUGUGAGGAAAUGCCAAGACAACAAAAGCAUCUUGCAAAAACAUACAUGUACUGUAGGGUCAUGGGACAUUACUCCAGAGGAGGGGCUGGGUGAAGAAUGUGUUGAAGGAAGUGUUUCUUUGCGAGUUUGUGACAGUGAGGCUGAACUGAGGUAGAGUGUAUUCAGGGUUGAUUCCAAACAUCAUCUAUCACAGGUGACAAUGGCUCUGACCUGUUUUCUGCUUCUGGUUUCUCUUAUAGGCAGCACCUCAGCAGAUGUCAUCAAAUCAACUAAAUCAGAUGAGAAGGCAUUGGAAGGAGAAAAUGUGAUGCUGUCGUGUGACUACACUGUUUCAGCAUAUACUCUACAGUGGUAUCGCCAGUAUCCCAGAUCAGCUCCACAGUUUCUGGUGCUCACUGCUAACAUGGGUGGAGAUAAGAAAUCAGAUGAAGAUCAGCGAAUAUCUGUGAGGGUGAAUGAAGAGAAAACUCAAGUCUCUUUGCAGAUCUCCUCUGCUCAAGUCUCUGACUCUGCACUGUACUACUGUGCCCUGGCAACCACAGUGACACAAAACCACAGACUGCUGUACAAAAACCUUACAAUGGGUUUGAGACAUACAUGUCAGUUGUAA